rnacentral:rRNA from 1 species
AUACGUAGGGUGCGAGCGUUGUCCGGAACUACUGGGCGUAAAGAGCUCGUAGGUGGUUUGUCGCGUCGUCUGUGAAAUUCCGGGGCUUAACUCCGGGCGUGCAGGCGAUACGGGCAUAACUUGAGUACUGUAGGGGAGACUGGAAUUCCUGGUGUAGCGGUGAAAUGCGCAGAUAUCAGGAGGAACACCGGUGGCGAAGGCGGGUCUCUGGGCAGUAACUGACGCUGAGGAGCGAAAGCAUGGGUAGCGAACAGGAUUAGAUACCCUGGUAGUCCAUACCGUAAACGGUGGGCGCUAGGUGUAGGGGUCUUCCACGACUUCUGUGCCGUAGCUAACGCAUUAAGCGCCCCGCCUGGGGAGUACGGCCGCAAGGCUAAAACUCAAAGGAAUUGACGGGG